GGCUUUGAUUUUGGGGGGCUUUUUGGGUUUUUUUUUUGUUUGUUUUCUUUUUUUGUUUUGGUUUUUUUUGUUUUUGUUUUUGUUUUUUUGCCUUUUGGAUUAAAGAUGUCUGUAACUCUGAGAUUAAAUGGAAAAAAAAAAGGAAAAAAAAACCAACAAAAGAAAAAAAACGUAAAAAAAAAAACAAAACAAAAACCAACAGAACACGUGGCUUUCAAUGUUAUCUCUCCUCAUAGAAUGUGAUUGUCCAAGAACAUGCACCGAAAGUUGCUUUCAAGAGUACGAAGAUUCUUUGGAAACUAAAUAAAUUGCAGUUGUUUUUUUGGGGUUUUUUUUUUCUUUCUUUCUUUCUUUCUUUCUUUCUUUCUUUUUUUCCCUCUCUUGGCUGUUCAAAUAAUGUGUGCUUUUCUUUUGUGCAGGGGGUGCUAAAGGACAAAAUAAAGAGCAGAGUUUGAUGCGUGGAGGGAGCAGAUUCCUGCAAGCACACUGAGCAAAAACGCCUUUCUGUGUAUCCGAUACACUUCAAAUUCAGCAUCCUCCCUGGUGUGCGGAGAGAAAUGGAGCUCUGUGGCCAAAAUCCAUCAGUUGGUGUUUGCAUAUAACUUGUCUUUCCAGCAUCGUUCUCUUUUUCCGCUUCGGUGAGGUCAAACGUUAAUGAAGUUAAGGUCUCUGCUGAUGCUGAGGACGGGCCUUAGGUCUCAAGAGUCUUUCUUUGCAAAAGGACCUUUUGACAAACCUGUGUUUCUCACGUGUGUUGCAUUGACUGUACCUUCCAUAGCACUGUGCUGCAUGGCUGCCCCAUUUUCAGGCCAAGAGCAUUCCCUGCGUGCUCCGAAACUGUCAAACUCCCCUUAGUUCAUGUCCAGUCUGUGGGUGGCACUGGCAGAGCAGCUUGUUUUGCUACUUCUGCUCCAAAUAUAUAUCUAUUAUUACUGUUCUUGAUCAUUCAGUAUAUGAUUGUGUAUGUGAAGGAGCGUUUUAAUUAAAAAUGUAUAUGGACAUCUGUAUAUGGUAAGAAUUAUUGGAGCUGGAGGAAUCUGGACGUGGCACACCUUGAGGUAGGGGCUGUGGGCAGCUGUGAUGGCCCCAGGGCACAGAUUGCUGUGUGAGUGUGGAUCACCCAACGCCGUUGUGCACGAACUGCUGCUAAGUGUCCGUUAGCACUCCCGUGCUGCACCAGUUGUACCACUGCGUGAUGCUGAAUGUAUGAUUUGCACAGCCAGCUCCGGGGAAGGGGAGUUCCAAACGUUGGAUGCACAGCAAAGCGACCUCCUGGUGUGACCACGGACGGCCACGUCCCCACACAGCCCCAGGCAAUGGCAGUCCAUCCCUGCAUGGUGCUCUUGUGGGUGAGGUGCUGCACUUUGGGAUCUCACAGCAGAGUGUGUGCCCGUGUGCGGAUCCCAUAGGACACUGUCAGCUCUCUGCUGGACCCAUGGGUGGCUUCGGAGUGGUAACGUACCCAUGGAACCUUAAUGGCUCUGGGAGCAGCCCAGCCUUUGCCCUCUCCCCUAUCCCAAGGGUCUCUUCCCAAGGGCUCUCUUCCAGUAGCGUUGUUCUCUUGGGGUUGGGAGAGGCACCUCCACGGCCUGCCCACCCACUGUAGCUUUCCUGAGGGAGCACUGGCUGUGAAUGCCCACGUUCUGGUGGGCUCUGGGUGUCUUCCUCUGGCACACAUCAAUCUCAGGUUAACAUUUUGUGUUGCAAGCUGUAAUUAGCCCACAUUACAGCCCAUCUAGCCCAUGCAGAGACAGCAGAACUGACCAUUUUAACUUAAAUGCUCCCACCGUUCUCUGUAAUGAAGGUUGGAAGUGAUGGCGGUGCUCCAUCCCAUGUGUGCUCCUGGUGCUCAUUUCUUACUGACUGAUGCAUAGGAAGCAAGUUGCUUGUACAUUUCUCUGAUGGAAACGUGGUCUCGGAGCAGCCACGAUGUCAGGGUUAUUAAAAUGUUACAGAAUGAGCCAGAAGGUUCCUUUGCUUUCAGUAAGUACAAUGACUAGGAGAGGUGACUUGCUAUGGUGCUGCUGAGUGAUGCUGAGAACCCCCCUAUGCCCAAUGCCACCUCCACCCAAUGCUGGAGCACGUUAGUUCUUCCAUUGUCCCUUUUGCUCAGGGGGAAGGGAUUGGUCAGAUCCAAAGCAGACCCUGACCUCUCUGUGAUUCCAUCUCCCCCAUUCUUGGCUCGGUCUACAUUUAUAUUGGAGAAAACACGGCGUGCACCAACAGCAGCGGAAAGGAGCAGCUCUGGUUCUGUUUGCAGUGCUCUGAUUUUGGGUGCAGCGCUCAUGGUUGUGUUUCACCGCCUGUACCCCAACAGGAGGGGUAGGAUGGGAGAAAUCAGACGUUAUUCCAUCUCAUUUCGAGUGGAAGGCGCAGCGCUGCUCAGCCCUUUGCAGGGUGCUCACCCCAAGCGUUGGCCCCAAAGACAAACACCACUAAUUACCCCCUCCACAAGCGCGUGCCGCUUCUCCGUUUUACAGUGUUUGGCUUUCUCGCCGGGUGCCCCCGCUUUAAGUGCGUGUGCCGCGUCCCUCCAUCAAUCACAGCGGCGCCCAUUGGGCACAGCGCUGCCGCAGCUGAGCCCCCCCCGUGGGCAGCGGCUGUCGGUGGUGUGCAGCUCUGACGGGCAGCGCUGCGAUCGCCCCCGAUUGUUUGUGCACG
ensembl:lncRNA